rnacentral:rRNA from 1 species
CCUACGGGAGGCUGCAGUGAGGAAUAUUGGUCAAUGGACGAGAGUCUGAACCAGCCAAGUAGCGUGAAGGAUGACUGCCCUAUGAGUUGUAAACUGCUUUUAUAUGAGAAUAAAAUGUUCCACGUGUGUGCUGUUGUAUGUACCAUAUGAAUAAGGAUCGGCUAACUCCGUGCCAGCAGCCGCGGUAAUACGGAGGAUCCGAGCGUUAUCCGGAUUUAUUGGGUUUAAAGGGUGCGUAGGUGGAUUGUUAAGUCAGUUGUGAAAGUUUGCGGCUCAACCGUAAAAUUGCAGUUGAAACUGGCGGUCUUGAGUAGAGUAGAGGUGGGCGGAAUGCGUGGUGUAGCGGUGAAAUGCUUAGAGAUCACGAAGAACUCCGAUUGCGAAGGCAGCUCACUAGACUGCAACUGACACUGAGGCUCGAAAGUGUGGGUAUCAAACAGGAUUAGAUACCCUAGUAGUC